rnacentral:tRNA from 1 species
GCGGGCAUAGCUCAGUGGUAGAGCAUCAGCUUCCCAAGCUGGGGGUCGCGGGUUCGAAUCCCGCUGCCCGCU